GGAGAGAUGGCCGAGUUGGACGAAGGCGCACGACUGGAAAUCGUGUAAACGUGAUAAGCGUUUCGAGGGUUCGAAUCCCUCUCUCUCCG
rnacentral:tRNA from 1 species